GGUCAGGAUGAACGCUAGCUACAGGCUUAACACAUGCAAGUCGAGGGGCAGCAUGAGGGUAGCAAUACCCUUGAUGGCGACCGGCGCACGGGUGCGUAACACGUAUCCAAUCUACCCAUGGCUCGGGAAUAGCCUUUCGAAAGAAAGAUUAAUGCCCGAUGGUCUGUGAUUGAGACAUCUCGAUUACAGUAAAGAUUUAUCGGCGAUGGAUGAGGAUGCGUCCGAUUAGGUAGUAGGCGGGGUAACGGCCCACCUAGCCGACGAUCGGUAGGGGUUCUGAGAGGAAGGUCCCCCACAUUGGAACUGAGACACGGUCCAAACUCCUACGGGAGGCAGCAGUGAGGAAUAUUGGUCAAUGGGCGCGAGCCUGAACCAGCCAAGUAGCGUGGAAGGGAUGACUGCCCUAUGGGUUGUAAACCUCUUUUGUUUGGGAAUAAAGUGUCCUACGAGUAGGAUUUUGUAUGUACCUUACGAAUAAGCAUCGGCUAAUUCCGUGCCAGCAGCAGC
rnacentral:rRNA from 1 species